rnacentral:tRNA from 1 species
GUAGGUAUCGUUUAAAAAAGACAUUAGAUUGUGAUUCUAAAAAUAAGGGU